CGGCGGCCAAGACAGCACGGAGUAGACUGACUAGGGCGUUUCGGGAGGGUAAGGGGUAAACGCCGCGGCCUGCUUUUCAGAACUCUCCCCCGCCUUGUUCGUGGCUCCGGGCCCCUGCCGCCCUCACACCGGUAACCUCGCAACGCUCCCGUGCUGCGGCCUGUGGCAGGAUUGCCUGCGACGUCCUCCCUGCCUGGUGACCCUCUGGCCGGCAAGAUGAAGCUCUCCCUGGUGGCUGCAGUGCUGCUG
rnacentral:other from 12 species